ensembl:lncRNA SORD2P sorbitol dehydrogenase 2, pseudogene
GUUGAGCAGUUCAGCAGUGUACACAAAUCACAUUCUCAGGAAUUUUUGGAUGCUCAGCUGAUGCAACCAGAAGAUACUUGUGUGAUGACAAUAUGUUAUUGUAAGUGGGAAGUCAGUAUUUCUUAUCUUCUGAGCUUUCUUGUUUUUACCUCCUUUACAGGCCACUCGCUCUGGUGGGACCCUCGUGCUUGUGGGGCUGGGCUCUGAGAUGACCACCGUACCCCUACUGCAUGCAGCCAUCCGGGAGGUGGAUAUCAAGGGCGUGUUUCGAUACUGCAACACGUGGCCAGUGGCGAUUUCGAUGCUUGCGUCCAAGUCUGUGAAUGUAAAACCCCUCGUCACCCAUAGGUUUCCUCUGGAGAAAGCUCUGGAGGCCUUUGAAACAUUUAAAAAGGGAUUGGGGUUGAAAAUCAUGCUCAAGUGUGACCCCAGUGACCAGAAUCCCUGAUGUUAAUGGGCUCUGCCCUCAUCCCCAGUCUCGGGAUCUCAGGGCACAAUGGCUGGACAUGGGUGGGCUCUGAUGCAGAACUUUCUCUUUUGAAUGUUAAGAAUAACUAAUACAAUUCAUUGUGAACAGAAGUCCUUACGCAGAGGAAUUGGUGUGCCUUAAAGAUACAAUCUGGGAUAGUUUGGGGGAACUUGUAGCCAGAAUGCCCUGUUCAUGCUGAGCAAAGUUCAGCAAGUAGAGCAGAGUUUGGCAGGCAGGUGCCAGGAACUCCCCUUCUUCCUGGAGUGCCUUCAUUGAGGAAGGAAAUCUGGCCCUUGGGUUUCCUGGUUCCACUGCUACUGACCCAGAGGGGAAUGAGGGCUGAGUUAUGAAAAGAUAACUUCAUGAAGACUUAACUGGCCCAGAAGCUGAUUUUCAUGAAAAUCUGCCACUCAGGGUCUGGGAUGAAGGCUUGUCAGCACUUCCAGUUUAGAACGCAAUGUUUCUAGAGACAUAUUGGCUGUUUGUUUUGAUGAUAAAAGGAGAAUAAGAAAAGGCAUCACUUUCCUGGAUCCAGGAUAAUUUUUAAACCAAUCAAAUGAAAAAAACAAACAAACAAAAAAGGAAAUGUCAUGUGAGGUUAAACCAGUUUGCAUUCCCCUAAUGUGGAAAAAGUAAGAGGACUACUCAGCACUGUUUGAAGAUU